rnacentral:rRNA from 1 species
AAGUCGUAACAAGGUUUCCGUAGGUGAACCUGCGGAAGGAUCAUUCAUGAUAAGUGUUUUAAGGCACUUUAACAAUUCCAUAUCCACCUUGUGUGCAAUGUUCUCUUAAAGGGUGUCAUCCUCCUCUCUCUCCAAAGGGGGAGGGGGGUGGUACAGUCUUUAUAUAAAUUUUUUAAUAAACUUUUGACCACGCUUGAACUUGAUUUAGUCUAAACGUUAAUAAAAUAACGAAUUCAAUAAAAUUCUAAAAAAAAUACAACUUUCAACAACGGAUCUCUUGGCUCUCGCAUCGAUGAAGAACGCAGCGAAAUGCGAUACGUAAUGUGAAUUGCAGAAUUCAGUGAAUCAUCGAAUCUUUGAACGCACAUUGCGCUUUCUGGUAUUCCGGAGAGCAUACUUGUUUGAGUAUCAGUUAAACAUUCAGUUUCUUUUGAAACCGGAGUUGAGCGAUCUCUGCCCUGAAGCGGCGCGCGCAACAUGCUUGCGUAAGUUGUGUGAGGGUGGGGUAGCUUAAAAUAUGUGUGGCAAUGGGCCUCCUAAUCGUCUGAGCUAAAAGCAUAACUUGUUUAGUCCCGUAAAACGUACUAUUAUCUAUUUGCUGCAGCUAAUCUUGAAGGUCGAUUUGGUCCCAAGCGCCGACUGAUGCAGUUAAUUAUUCAAGAGGGAGGAGAAAAAGGGGGGGAAACCCCCCUCUCUGUCCUUUUUGUUAAACAUGAUCUCAAAUCAAGUAAGAUUACCCGNUGANNUUAAGCAUAUCAAUAAGCGGAGAAAGAAACUAACAAGGAUUCCCCUAGUAACGGCGAGUGAAGCGGGAUGAGCUCAAAUUUGAAAUCUGGCUAGUUUUACUGGUCCGAGUUGUAAUUUAAAGAAGCGUUUUCGGUGGCAGCCCGGGUAUAAAUCCUUUGGAACAGGGUAUCAUAGAGGGUGAGAAUCCCGUCUUUGACUCGGUGCGUUGCUACUAUGUGAUACGUUUUCAAAGAGUCGAGUUGUUUGGGAAUGCAGCUCAAAUUGGGUGGUAAAUUUCAUCUAAGGCUAAAUAUUGGCGAGAGACCGAUAGCGAACAAGUACCGUGAGGGAAAGAUGAAAAGAACUUUGAAAAGAGAGUUAAACAGUGCGUGAAAUUGUUGAAAGGGAAACGUUUGAUACCAGCCAUGUGGGUGAGAAAUCAGUCAAUUGUGGGUAGGGGGUUGCAGGUUUUUGGACCGCAAGGCCAGCGUCUGCAGGAUCUCUGCUGCAAGUGAUGCACUUUUUCAUCGGCAGGUCAACAUCAGUUUCUCCUGCUGGACAAAACUCUGAGAGAAGGUAGCAGCUUUGGCUGUGUUAUAGCUCUGGAGCGAUACAGUAGCGGGGACUGAGGAAGUUUUUGCAGCGUGUGCCUUUGGGCAAGGCUGACUGGGUGCUGUGGGGUUGUUCGGCGUACAAUGCAUGCAUUUUGCGUCGUGUCUUGUCCACACUCGCUCAACUCGGCUCUUCCACGCUUAGGAUGUUGACUUAAUGGUCUUAAACGAC